GAUGAACGCUGACAGAAUGCUUAACACAUGCAAGUCAACUUGAACUUCGGUUUGGGUGGCGGACGGGUGAGUAACGCGUAAAGAACUUGCCUCACAGAUAGGGACAACAUUUGGAAACGAAUGCUAAUACCUGAUAUUAUGAUUUUAGGGCAUCCUAGGAUUAUGAAAGCUAUAUGCGCUGUGAGAGAGCUUUGCGUCCCAUUAGCUAGUUGGAGAGGUAACGGCUCACCAAGGCGAUGAUGGGUAGCCGGCCUGAGAGGGUGAUCGGCCACAAGGGGACUGGGACACGGCCCUUACUCCUACGGGAGGCAGCAGUGGAGAAUAUUGGACAAUGGACCAAGAGUCUGAUCCAGCAAUUCUGUGUGCACGAUGAAGUUUUUCGGAAUGUAAAGUGCUUUCAGUUGGGAAGAAAAAAAUGACGGUACCAACAGAAGAAGAGACGGCUAAAUACGUG
rnacentral:rRNA from 1 species